rnacentral:rRNA from 1 species
ACAGAGGAAUAGCCUUUAGAAAUGAAGAUUAAUGCCUCAUAGUAUUGUAGACUGGCAUCAGUUUAUAAUUAAAGAUUUAUCGGUAAAAGAUGGCUAUGCGUCCUAUUAGUUAGUUGGUAAGGUAACGGCUUACCAAGACAGCGAUAGGAGGGGUCCUGAGAGGGAGAUCCCCCACACUGGUACUGAGACACGGACCAGACUCCUACGGGAGGCAGCAGUGAGGAAUAUUGGACAAUGGAGGAGACUCUGAUCCAGCCAUGCCGCGUGUAGGAAGAAUGCCCUAUGGGUUGUAAACUACUUUUAUACAGGAAGAAACACUGGUAUGUAUACC